CUCCAGGAAGGCUGGGAAGACAACAAAGUGAGAGGGAGGAGACUUUUGCCCAUAUCUCAUGACAGGAGCGUCUUACCAUGACUCAAGUACAAUCCAGCACCAUCUGAAGGAUUUAAACGAUUCCAAAUUAGGUUCCCCUGAUGGAUAUGUACCCCUUCCAGGCAGAGACGGCAGAAACGAUCGAGGAAGAGAAGAUUCCUGAUAAGGCAGGGAACACAAAGGCCAGUGUGGAUGACGGAGACGGCGAAGACGACGGAAGCGGCGGCGAUGACGGCGGGAACGGAAGAAGCAGAGAGCACCCCCG